AUGCAGUUUUCAUGUCUGAUGCCUGGGAAAUGUAGUUUAGGGCAGGAUCUUUUUAAUUCUCUACAACAGGGGUUCUCAUUGUUGGGAGCUGAAUCAAAGUUGAGAGGCAGUAACUCCAAAGUGUACCUAGUUUCUUCUUCUUCUUCUUCUUCUUCUUCUUCUUCUUCUUCUUAUUAUUAUUAUUAUUAUUUCGAAGGCUCGAUGGGCAUCUGUUGGGGGUGCUUUGACUGUGCAUUUCCUGCCUGGCAGAAGGGGGUUGGACUGGAUAGCCCCUGGGGUAUUCCAGUGAAAUAGUGCUGUUAAGUUUAUAUUGGUUAAAAUUCCCCCAAAAUCAGUAGAUGUGCAAAUCUUUCUGAAAUUUAGGAGGAAUGAUGCCCUGGUUAUGUUGUAUCAUUGGAAAUAGAAAUUCAAGGAGAUAGCUCUUGUACGUUUUUUAAAUGUUGUUCAUUAAAUAAAAUCAGUGGAUAUGUGAAAUAUUCUGAAACUUGGGGGGGGGGUUAACAAUGGUAAAUGCAUUGUACAAUUGUAGUAAGUUUCAUCCAGUUAACUUUACAAAAGAGGGAGAAAGGAGCCCUGGAAGCUUCCCCAUGUGCACAAUUACAUAAUGAAAAAAUAAUUAAAAAAUUCAUUACUUCACUAUAGUUAUGAUAUGAAUCCCUUACAAUAUUUUAGAAACACUUUGGGAAUGAUUCGCCACCCCCCUAAUUUAGUAAUGAAUAUGGAAACAUUUUUUCAUUGAUCACACAGGUGUAAUAUGUAUUUUAACACAUGAGGUUUUCACAUACAUAUUAUGCUUUAUUUGAAAAUGGGUUUAGGAUCAUCUUUAUGUCCUAAAUGUGGUGUGUGUGUGUGUGUGUGUGUGUGUAUAGUAUAUACUCAAGUAUAAGCCUAGUUUUUCAGCCUUUUUUUAAGACUGAAAAAGCCCCCCUCGGCUUAUACUCGAGAAUAUAUGGUACAUUUAUUAUUUUUCUCUAUUAUUAUUGGUAUUGUUACAUUUAUUAUUUUUCUCUAUGAUUGUUGCUACUAUUACAUUUAUUUCACUCUAUUUUAUUAUUAUUAAUAAUAAUACAUUUAUUAUUUCACUCUGAAUGUAUUGCUAUUAUUAUUGCAUUUAUUAUUUUACUCUAUUUAUUAUUACAUGUAUUAUUUUACUCUAUUAUUAUUAAAAGGAUACAUAAGCACAUUACAUUGAAGAAGAUGAGGAUAAUGAUUUGAUCAGAGUUGUACAGUCUUAUCUUAAAUUUGAGCUUUAUGUAAAUAUUCAAAAACAUUUAACCCAUUGAUGCCUCAAUUAAUGUAAUUUUAUUGGUAUCUAUGUUUAUUUCUGAAAUUUACCACCCUCGGCUUAUACUGGAGUCAAUGUUUUCCCAGUUUUUUUGUGGUAAAAUUAGGUGCCUCGGCUUAUAUUCGGGUUGGCUUAUACUUGAGUAUAUACGGUGUGUGUGUGUGUGUGUGUGUGUGUGUGUGUGUGUGUGUGUAUAUAUAUAUAUAUAUAUAUAUAUAUAUAUAUAUAUAUAAAAUAAAUGAGAACCUGCAAAGAGUCAGAGUGGUAUGGCUUGACUAUAGGACAACUACACUGGAAGAGCAGGGUUUACAUACCCACUUUGCCAUGCAAACCCAUUGGGUAGCUUUGGCCUUAUCACACUCUCUCAGCCUAAAAGGAAGGCAAGGGCAAAUUCUGCCAAGAAAGACCAGUGAUAUGAUCACCUUUGGGUUACCACAAGUUAGAAAUGACUUAAAGGGACUCAAGAACAACCACACAACUUAUCAACAUGGCUUUACAACUGUUAUUUGGCAAAACUUGUAUAGCAAAGGUUUUUACAAAUAGAUUGCUGGUAGUAGGAAAUCUCUGCAAGUCCAAACCCUUGAUAUCAUACAGUGUGCACUCUCAAACUGAACUGGUAGGCACACAUUCACUAUGCAAGCAUGUAAAGUGUACCCCUCUACAAUUUGCAUGGAGCCCAAUAUUUCUGGGGAGCUGCCAUUGAGAAUUUUGAAGAGUUCAUAUACAUGAGAGGUAAUAAUGAGGGAAAGUAGAAAAUCUGAAAGAACAAAGAGAUUAAGAAGAGCAUAGGGGAAGGGUGACUAUUACAAAGAAUAUCUAAUGAAUACAGAGAAGGAUCAAACUUUAGCUAAUGUUCUCAGUGCACAAGUAAUUCAGCAAGAGCUUGGAAUUCAGGUAACAUCAAGAUGCAUUCCAAUCCCAACUUUUAGAAAUAGGCAAGCCUAUGUUAAUACGAUGUUGAAGGCUUUCAUGGCUGGAAUCACUAGGUUGUGGUGCAUUUUCUGGGCUGUAUGGCCAUGUUCCAGAAGCAUUCUCUCCUGACGUUUUGCCUACAUCUAUGGCAGGCAUCCUUAGAGGUUGUGAGGUAUAUUGGAAUACCAAGUAAGGGAGGUUUAUAUAUCUGUGGAAGGUAUAGGGUGGGAGAAAGAACUCUUGUAAUGGUGAAUGUUGUAAUUAGUCACCUUGAUUAGCAUUAAUGGCCUUGCCAGAUUCAUUCUUGCCUGGGGGAAUCCUUUGUUCAAAGGUGUUAGCUACUCCUGAUUGAUUAAUGUCUGUAAUUCCUCUGUUUUCAGAGUGUUCUUUAUUUACUGUUCUGAUUUUAGAGUUUUUUAAUACUGUAGCCAGAUUUUGUUCAUUUUCAUGGUUUCCUCCUUUCUGUUGAAAUUGUCCACAUGCUUGUGGAUUUCAGUGGCUUCUCUGUGUAGUCUGACAUGAUAGCUGUUAGAGUGGUCCAGCAUUUCUGUGUCCUCAAAUAUUAUGAUGUGCCCACGUUGGUUCAUCAAGUGCUCUACUAUGGCUGACUUCUCUAGUUGAGUUAGUCUGCAGCACCUUUCGUGUUCCUUGAUUUGUGUUCCUUGAUUCUAUGUUAAUAUAUUGUGUUCCAUCCCAUCCCAUCCUAUUUGUUUUGUUUGAAAUUAAAUUCAAUACUUUUAAAAUUGUUCCUAUGCCUUUCUUCCUACUUUGACUCUUCUUACUGAUGACAUUAUUUUCAGGAAAUGUUGAGAUUCAUUAGCAUCCUAGAGCCUGUAUUGUCAGACAUGAAGACAGCGGAUCUUCAUUAUUGUAGUUACAUCCGAAUAUAUCGCCUUCCAAAAACCAACUUUUCUAUCUAAGCAGAAUCCCAACUGGAGGGCUUCUAAAACACUACAUGAAAUGCUGGGAAAUGACAUCCAUAGUUCUCUCCCAGUCACGUGGCAUGUUGAAGAAAGACAGAUUAAGAGACAGAUAUGAUCUUGCUGCAAAUGCAUGUCUCAAUGUUUCCUGUGACAGGGGUCCUCCAGACAUCACUCCUUAGUGCUCCAAUCUACUAUGCCUUGGAAGCUCUUCAGUUGAGACACUGCCUGGCAACAGUAAUAUUCAACUUUAAACACGAACUCUAAAAGCUAUGAGACUGUAAAUCUGGUUUACAAUGCUGUAACUACUACUACUACUACUACUACUAAUAAUAAUAAUAAUAAUAAUACUGAAAGAAAAUUGCACAGACAGACUACAAACAGA
rnacentral:lncRNA from 1 species